rnacentral:rRNA from 1 species
UACGUAGGCAGCGAGCGUUGUUCGGAGUUACUGGGCGUAAAGGGUGUGUAGGCGGUUGUUUAAGUUUGGUGUGAAAUCUCCCGGCUCAACUGGGAGGGUGCGCCGAAUACUGAAUGACUAGAGUGUGGGAGAGGUGAGUGGAAUUCCUGGUGUAGCGGUGAAAUGCGUAGAUAUUGGGAGGAACACCAGUGGCGAAGGCGGCUCACUGGACCGGUACUGACGCUGAUGCGCGAAAGCGUGGGGAGCAAACGGG